AAUCCAAAGUGAGGGUAUUGGUGUAAAAGUCCUUUGAAUCUAUCCCAAGGUUCGAAUAAGGAUUCUCCAUCUUUUUUCAUAAAGUUGGUGAUAAGAUUCCUCAAGU